rnacentral:rRNA from 1 species
CCUACGGGUGGCAGCAGUGAGGAAUAUUGGUCAAUGGACGAGAGUCUGAACCAGCCAAGUAGCGUGAAGGAUGAAUGCACGAUGGGGUGUAAACUUCGUUUAUAAAGGAAUAAAACGAGGCACGUGUGCCUUUUUGCAUGUACUUUAUGAAUAAGGAUCGGCUAACUCCGUGCCAGCAGCCGCGGUAAUACGGCGGAUCCGAGCGUUAUCCGGAUUUAUUGGGUUUAAAGGGAGCGUAGGUGGGUUGUUAAGGAAGUUGUGAAAGUUUGCGGCUCAACCGUAAAAUUGCAAUUGAUACGGGCAGUCUUGAGUACAGUUGAGGUAGGCGGAAUUCGUGGUGUCGCGGUGAACUGCUUAGAUAUCACG